ACCCGCCUCCUUACGUACCGCCGCCCUCUCUCUCCCUCUCCCAGAUCCAGAUCGAGGCCACCGACACCUCCGGUGCCCACACCCCUUGUGUCUAUCCUCUCCCUCCGCCUCCGAUGCGGCCGUCUCCUGCCUAGUCCUCGUCCUUCUAUGUCUCCUCAUCCGCCCAGUCCUCGUCCUUCGCUGCGGCCUGCAUGCUGGAGGAAGCUGGCGGCUAGGACGGCCACAGAGCAGAGGGAGGUUGCGGCACACACGCAGGGUGAGGACCAUGCGCGAUCGAUCAACACCACCAGCGGGAGGUUUCAUCCUCCCCCCGACUCGACGCAGCAGCCAAUGCAGGAGGCCGGCAGCAUGGAAGGGAGCACGAUUGGAGGCAGAUCCGGUGGGGACUUCACUGGAUCCGGCCAGGGCGGACCGGAUCCCGACGUCGCGGCUCCAUUUCUGGCGCGAGAGAAUAGUUCCCGGCGACGAACUCACGGAUGGACAGUCGUAGCUGGCGGCUCGCAUUCAUGGCGUUAGGACGACUGCUCGGGAUAGAAGCGCACGGGCGCGACGAGGAGAGGGGCACGGGCAAGGGGCGACCAGCCUGGCUGGCUCUCGUCACGGAUCUGCAGGAGGCCAUCCAAGCCAAGAGAAGUUGUGGACCCUGAAGUCCAAGAAGGCGGUGACGGUGCAGCGGAAGGCCAACCCCUCUUGCAGGAUCUGGUUUGUCUGCAAAGGAAACCUCAUCUGCACUAGGCUCGUGGUGAAGAACUGCAAGGCCGAGCAGGACCUUUCGGGGGUUUCUUAGCAGGCAAGCUACUUUAUGGAUACCUAGGUCAAGCUUGCGGUGGUGAAGGUGAUGAUAUGGGUUUCCUAUCUUCAGAAGUAAAAUGUUUGCUUGCUACCUUCUUU